rnacentral:rRNA from 1 species
UUCCUACGGGGCGCAGCAGUGAGGAAUAUUGGUCAAUGGGCUUACGCCUGAACCAGCCAAGUCGCGUGAGGGAAGACUGCCCUAUGGGUUGUAAACCUCUUUUGUCAGGGAGCAAUUGGCGCUACGUGUAGCGUUAUCGAGAGUACCUGAAGAAAAAGCAUCGGCUAACUCCGUGCCAGCAGCCGCGGUAAUACGGAGGAUGCGAGCGUUAUCCGGAUUUAUUGGGUUUAAAGGGUGCGUAGGCGGAAUAUCAAGUCAGCGGUAAAAAUUCGGGGCUCAACCCCGUCGUGCCGUUGAAACUGAUG